CCCUGCUCUCCGGGCUCCAGAGCGGGGUUUGGGGAGCCUCCUGCAGCCCCUCCGUCGGGGUGACAUGUGACGAGACUCAGCAGCCCUUCCCGGCUGGCUGUGCGGCAGGCCCGGGUGUGUCUCCUGCACAGAAGGGGAGGCCUCGAAUGGUGUGACUCGGCGGCCGCUGCUGCCAACUCCUGCAGAGCCCAGGGCUCAGAAAACGCCUCAUGGACGGGAGAAAAGCUCUGUUCUCAGGGCACUGGAAGUCCGCAGAGGGACAGCCAGGUCCUCCUGGGAAACUGCCCCGAGAGACCUGAGGGCGAGGCGGAGCCCUGGGAGCCCCCACACCCUCUCCUCGCUCCUUCACACCCGCACAGGCUGGCGCUCUCGUCAGCCGCCUCACAGAUGAGGAAACUGAGGCCCAGCGAGAGGAAUGCCGUGCCCGAGGUGACCGGCCAGCGACAGAGCUGCCACAGGCAGGACCCACCUGUCAGCCUUCAGCUCUGUCAAUGAAAAAUCGAAGGAAGUGACGCCUCGUAAAGACUGUCUACGUGUCCCUGAGCCCCCAGACGGGAAAGGGGUCCCCCCCGGGAGCCAUCUGGAAAGGGGCCGUCGAGUGGGCCUGCAAGGCGGGGGUGGUGCCCACGAGCAGUGGGUUUGGGGAAAUGGCAAACAGCUGGAGCUGCUGGAGUGCCACACGCAGGUGGGGGAGAAGAGGGGCUGGGGACCCGGUGGCCGUGCCGGGGAGCUGGAGCUCAGCUCUCGGAGCCUGGAGUGACACAGUCCCAUUUCCAUUUUAAAAAUCACUGAGUGCAGAGGGGAGAGUGACAGGCCAGGAAGCCUGCCUCCCUCUUCCUUCUGGCCCCCUUUCUCUGCCCUCUUCUUCCUUCCAGCACCCGCCCCUACCCACCCCGCCUCUCUGGGGAACAAUCAGGAUGCAGAGGAAAGAGAAGGCCGGAAUGGUCACCAGACUCUGCUUUAAAACAGACUUCCAACAUGCUGUGUGAGCCCCACAAAGUCACUUGAGCUCUCUGAGCCACGGCUCUUGCUUGGCUGAAAACGCAAACAAUAUUUCUGCACCCGGGAGAUGCUGCGAGGGCCCCACUGGAAGCUCCCCGAAGCUGCAGGGUGGACAGAGCGGUCACGCACCAUCCUGGAACAAGGGACAGACGUCACAUAUGACAGGAAUGCGCCCUGUGCUCCAGUCACGGGUCACUUAGCUGGUACAGCAGGAAGAAGAGUGCUGACGGUGGGACCAGGAGACCAAGCUGGAGGUGGGGGGGCUCAGCCUCGGGUGUGGCAAACAGGGUGGAGAGCGUGCUGGAUCUGAACCCGUCCAGGAGGUCUCAGCCGUCCCCAGCUUCUGGAAGCCCCCGGAAGGCUCCUCCUAGGCUCUGCUCACGGCUCCCUCCUCAUCCUCCUCUGCCCGCUUCACACCCCAGAGGAGCCGCUCCCAGCAGAACCUGCAGAAAGCAGGAGUUCAACGCUCUUGCUGGGCUUUCUGGACGAGGCAGCCGCCCUGCGGUCUAGGAAUGAUAAUUGAGAUCCGGGAACAAGACCGAGGCUGCGGAGAAGUGAGCAUCCGCUCCCCGCCCCCUCCCCUGCUGGCCGCGCUCCGGGCAGCGUGAGUGCUGGGCCGCCGUCCGUCCCCGCCCUCCGAGAAAUCCUAGCUGGUGUCCUGACGUGCCAGCUCUGGCCGGGCUCUGCCGGUGCGAGCGCACUCAGUCCUCACAGCGGUCCUGCAAGAUAGGGCUGCUGUCAUCCCAUUCUCGGGUGGAGAAACUGAGGCACAGAUGCCUGGGGGCUCAUCCACUGCCCCCAAGCACCUCUCACCUCUCAGGAGGUAGGGACUCCUGACCCAGAGCCCCACCCCUACAUCCAGCACUGAGCCUUGCAUUCCUCUGGUGAUGGGGUGCUCACCACCAUUCUUCACAGAAAUCCAGAUGCUCUGACCACCCACCACAUGGGUGCAGGCCGUCACAUCUGACGGUGGCCUCGCCCCGUCUGUCCCUGCCCUGCUCCCACACCAGUGUCACUCCCUGCCUGGCUCAGGAGGCACAGGGGACGGAGCCAAAGUUAAGAGCCACAUAUUCCUGGUAGCGCCAGCCAUCCCUGUGGGCUCCUCCCCCCACCAGGGUCAUCCUGGCCCCACUCACCUGUCCAAGGUGGGCAAGAGGAAGUGAUACGCUGGGGCCACCUGGCCACUGGACUCCUCCACCCCGGAGCCCCAUCUCUCCUGGUCCGUGCCCUCCCUCUCCACCUCCACCCCACGCUCCUUGCUGGGAAGUCACAACAACAACAACGGCAGUAAUGAUAGCAGCUAACACAUGCAGCCUCUGCAGGUGCCGGGCCUUGUUCUAAGCAGUUCACACGUGUAAACCCUGGAAUCCUCUCACCUCUGUACAGAACACCCCACAUUGAUGCCAUCUUACUGCUGAGGACACUGCCCAGAGAGGCUGAGACACCUGCCCAAGGCCACACAGCUCCCUAGUUGAGGGACCCCGGGGGCGUUGCUCUUGUUUGCUGAUGACCAGGGAGCCGUAGGGCCUUUGAUCCCUGAGAGGGGCCUUCUGACACCGGGAGCAGCGCCUGUCCUCAGUGCCCACUGCUGGGGCAGCUGUUUACUGGAAGGGCCCGGAGGCUCCAGGCAGGGCCUGUGCGGUGCAAGGACCUCUUUGUUCUGUGAGGAUUUGUAGCAUCGACAGGCCCCUUGCUCCGCUCCCAGAUCCAGCAGCAAACGGGUCUGCAGGCACAGGGGGCUCGGGAUCCCACGCUCAGUGCUGCCACCAACUCCUCGUGUGUGACUUGGGCAAAUGGCUUCCCGUCACAGGCCCGUCAGCUCCCUCAGCCUAAGAGCCACUAUUCUCUGCGCACCUACUGUGUGCCAGUCACCAGAGCAGCCUUUUGCCGUCCUCCAUCCCAAGGGCUCAUCCCAGCAGUCCAACAAGGUGGGCGACGUUCACAUUUCACGGAAGAGGGAACGGAGGCCACCCUGCCUGGGCAUACGCCAGGGCGGAACCAGGACUGGGGUGGACCCGGCCCUCGCAGGGCUGACUCCAGUUCCCACUGCUGGCUGGGGUUCGGGGGUUCAGCCCUCCCUGUUCCCAGAUCAACAGCCCCUCUUCUUUUUGAGGAAGAUUAGCCCGGAGCUAACAUCUGCUGCCAAUCCUCCUCUUUUUGCUGAGGAAGACUGGCCCUGAGCUAACAUCCGUGCCCAUCUUCCUCUACUUUAUAUGUGGGACACCUACCACACGUGGCAUGUCCGUACAGAGGAUCUGAACCGGCGAACCCCGGGCCACCGAAGCGGAACGUCCACACUUAACCACUGCGCCACCGGGCUGGCCCCCAACAGCCCCUCUUUGUCCCUGGGGCUCUCUAGUCGCAUCACCCCUGCCCCUGGGUGACCCUGGGGCGCAGAAGCGGAGAGGAUGGUCUGGAGCCAACAUUGGGUCGACACCCUUCUGGCGUGAGUGGAAUUGGCUGGAGGAAUCAAGGAUGCGCCUGAUUCACUGAGAAUCAUUUUUUUUUGCAUCUUCGAGCGUUGGCCGAGCGUCAGCUUGAAGACGUCAGGGCUGCCUCACUCAUCAGCACUCAAGCCGCUGCUGUGCCGCUAGCCCUGCGUCCCCUUCCCUCCCGGGCCACCCCCGAACCCGUGCUGUUUGUAAGCAGAGAGCCUCUGGCCUGGGCGUCAUUGAGGGGCAGGGACUGGGGAAGCCACAGGCCCGCCCUGGAGACACCGUGCACGACGGGCUGGGAGUCCCCGCUUCGCCAGGACACAGACCCGCCGCGUGGCCCCUGCUCACCCCUGAUUCUCUUCCCUGGCCCAGGCGUCUCUGUUCCUGGACGCACAGGUUAAAGACGGGUCUGUGUUUGAAUCACGGCCCUACGUGGCUUUGGGCUAGAGGCCUCAUUUCUCCUUGCCUCAGUUUACUUAUCUGCAAAUGGGUGGCAACACACGCUUUGCAGAGCUGCACAGAGAGGGUGUUUGCAAGGUGUUCAGUGCCCAGCGAACAGUGGGUGCUCUGCUCGCCCUGUCCUGCGCCUGCCCCCACGCCUGCCCCUUCGGAGCCCUUGUCCUUCAGGUGGCCGCACUGGCGCCUCCUCCUUCACGGGCCACGCUCGAGUGAACGUCGGCGUUGGCUUGACUGCGAGUCUCGAGUCCCGUCCUGUGAAUUCAGAUUUUCUUCUUCCUUGCAAUUGUUUUGAAUAUUACAGAUCCCUUCCGUUUCCACGUAAAUAUUAGGAUCAGCUUAUCAGUUUACACACAUACCUGCCUGCCGAGACUGGGCUGGAAUAGCAUUAAGUGUAUGGAUCAAUUUGGGUAGAAUUAAGACCUUGACGACAUUGGGUCUUCUCACCCGUGAACGUGGCAUAUCUCUCCACUUUUUAAAACAUCUUAUUUGAUUUCUCUCGAUAAUGUUCUGAUUUUUCCGUGUUGAUGUCGUGCACAUCUUUCAUUGGAUUUAUUCUUGGGCGCUUUGUGUUUUUAAUGUUAUUGCAAAUAAUUUCUUAAAAUGUCAUUUCCUAAUUAUGUGUGCACGGUAUCUAGAAACAAUUGGUUUGGGCAUAUUGACCUUGAACCCAGCAACCUGCUAAUUUUAUUCGUUCUAAUAGAUUAUCUGUCAGCACCAAUUAUAUCAUCUACAGGUGCUGACAGUUUUCUUUCUUUCUUCCUUAUCGC
rnacentral:lncRNA from 1 species